AGAGUUUGAUCCUGGCUCAGAUUGAACGCUGGCGGCAUGCCUUACACAUGCAAGUCGAACGGCAGCACGGGAGCAAUCCUGGUGGCGAGUGGCGAACGGGUGAGUAAUAUAUCGGAACGUGCCCAGUCGUGGGGGAUAACGCAGCGAAAGCUGUGCUAAUACCGCAUACGAUCUCUGGAUGAGAGCGGGGGACUCGCAAGGGCCUCGCGCGAUUGGAGCGGCCGAUAUCAGAUUAGCUAGUUGGUGGGGUAAAAGCCCACCGAGGCGACGAUCUGUAGCUGGUCUGAGAGGACGACCAGCCACACUGGAACUGAGACACGGUCCAGACUCCUACGGGAGGCAGCAGUGGGGAAUUUUGGUCAAUGGGCGCAAGCCUGAUCCAGCAAUGCCGCGUGCAGGAUGAAGGCCUUCGGGUUGUAAACU
rnacentral:rRNA from 1 species